UAAUCUCACUACAAUCCUCUUUGGUUGUAUGUGGAUCUGGAUGCUGCUGUGUGCUUACAAACGGCUCAUCUGAAAUGCCUGAGUGUACCCUGCUUUGCAGCGUAUUCGGUGUGAUACAGCUUCACCGGAGUUUGACUUUUCGGGGUCACGUCUGCUUACUUAUGGCUCUAUGCUUCCAACUGUCUCUGACCAGACAAUGCCUGACA
rnacentral:misc_RNA from 1 species